AUUGAACGCUGGCGGCAGGCCUAACACAUGCAAGUCGAGCGGAUGAAGGGAGCUUGCUCCUGGAUUCAGCGGCGGACGGGUGAGUAAUGCCUAGGAAUCUGCCUGGUAGUGGGGGAUAACGUCCGGAAACGGGCGCUAAUACCGCAUACGUCCUGAGGGAGAAAGUGGGGGAUCUUCGGACCUCACGCUAUCAGAUGAGCCUAGGUCGGAUUAGCUAGUUGGUGGGGUAAAGGCCUACCAAGGCGACGAUCCGUAACUGGUCUGAGAGGAUGAUCGGUCACACUGGAACUGAGACACGGUCCAGACUCCUACGGGAGGCAGCAGUGGGGAAUAUUGGACAAAGGGCGAAAGCCUGAUCCAGCCAUGCCGCGUGUGUGAAGAAGGUCUUCGGAUUGUAAAGCACUUUAAGUUGGGAGGAAGGGCAGUAAGUUAAUACCUUGCUGUUUUGACGUUACCAACAGAAUAAGCACCGGCUAACUUCGUG
rnacentral:rRNA from 1 species